ACGGAAGGCAGCAGUGAGGAAUAUUGGUCAAUGGGCGGAAGCCUGAACCAGCCAAGUCGCGUGAAGGAUGAAGGUAUUAUGUAUUGUAAACUUCUUUAGACGUAGAGAAAUAAGAGGCUCGUGAGCCUUGAUGCUAGUAUACGUAGAAUAAGGAUCGGCUAACUCCGUGCCAGCAGCCGCGGUAAUACGGAGGGUCCGAGCGUUAUCCGGAUUUAUUGGGUUUAAAGGGUGCGCAGGCGGCCCUGUAAGUCAGCGGUUAAAUCGUGGAGCUCAACUCCAUCCCGCCGUUGAUACUGCAGGGCUUGAUUGCGGUCGAGGUUGGCGGAAUUCGCCGUGUAGCGGUGAAAUGCAUAGAUAUGGCGAAGAACUCCGAUUGCGUAGGCAGCUGACCAGGCCGUAAAUGACGCUCAUGCACGAAAGUGCGGGGAUCGAACAGGAUUAGAUACCCUGGUA
rnacentral:rRNA from 1 species